rnacentral:rRNA from 1 species
AUACGGAGGAUGCGAGCGUUAUCCGGAUUUAUUGGGUUUAAAGGGAGCGUAGGCGGGAGCUUAAGUCAGCGGUUAAAUGGUGCGGCUCAACCGUGCCCUGCCGUUGAAACUGGGUUUCUUGAGAGUGCAAGAGGCGGAUGGAAUUCAUGGUGGAGGCGGGAAAUGCUUAGAUAUCAUGAAGAACUCCGAUUGCGAAGGCAGUCCGCUGGGGCACGUCUGACGCUGAUGCUCGAAGGUGCGGGAAUCAAACAGGAUUAGAUACCCUGGUAGUCCGCACGGUAAACGAUGAUUACCCGCUGUCGGCGGUAGACAGUCGGCGGCCAAGCGAAAGCGAUAAGUAAUCCACCUGGGGAGUACGCCGGAAACGGUGAAACUCAAAGGAAUGGGCGGGG